CUGAAAAUAAAUAAAUUAAUUUUUAAAAAAGGUGAGAAUUAAUUGUAGGGGAUGGGCAUAUCAGGAGAAGAUUUCUGAUUGUGGCUCCGAGGAGAAAAGAGGGCCUGAAUGUGAUUUGAGUCAGCAUGGAGAACUUUCCGUAUGCCCUAGGAUUCCCACAGAGGCUCCCCCCGCCCCCCGCUUGCUGACCUUAGGACCCAUUUCACGGAGCAGCUCUUCUCAGAUUGGGACUCAAGGGUGGAGAGAAAUUAGAGGGGCAUGCCCGAGAAGAAAGGCAUUCCCUGUGGAGAAAGCAGCACGGCGGAGGGUGCGGGGAGGGUCAGCAUGCUAUCUAGACGGAGAACUAAGGACAAGAAGGUAAACUGAGGCUCAAUCCUGCCAUGCUCUGUGGGCGGGCAAAAUGGGCAUCAGAGUUACAGGAAUAGGAAAGGGAUGCAUCAGAGGCCCUGGGGAAGGGCUCGGCUUUGUAAGGACUGGACUGAAGAUGAUGGGGUAGGAGAGGCCCUUCUUGAAUCACUUUAAAAACCUUCAGAGACUCAACUGACAGGUUUACCAACACAUGUAAACAUACUCUGUCUCAGUUAGGGGUAGGCUCAGAAAGACCCACCAAGAUCAUGGCUAAAUUAGACCGAAUGUUUCAUGUCUGCACUGGGGGAAUGGUCUAUGUCGCUAACAUGUAUGUCACUAAAUCCUUGGAUGUGCUUGUAAUUUAUAUGAAAAUGUUAAACAAAAACAAAAACAAAAAACCCCCAAACACCCCCGCCUCCCAAAACCAAAAAACAACAAAACCAACCCGGUCUCCCUUUUUUUUUUUUUUUUUCCUAAGAGAGUUUAAGCUAUCCUAUGGUCUCUAGCCUUGGAUUUUUAAUUCACGGCAAUGAUUUUCAAAUCAGUGAAACAUUUUCUGCAUAUUAUCAAUUUCUGACUACAAAUUAGAAAAAUGCAAACCCUCUGUCUUAGCACCCGGCAUCUCUGAGAAGACAUUCUUUUCACAAUGACAUUUGAAGGCUUUCUGGAGGUGACCGAUGGGACAGUCAUUCUGAGUGAAUUUAGAGAUUUUAAUUACUGUUGUAUUUAAUUGCAAGUGGGUGCUGUGGGAAAAAAAAAAAAAAAAAGCUGUCAACAAAGGAAGUAAUUAUUCCAAAGCAUUACAUCUGCUCCCCGUUCUCUGUCAAAAAUUUCUCACUAAAAAUGUGUUUCUUUAAACGUAACUCAAAGCAGCUGAUGAAAUGUAAGACCAUGGAAAGUUUCAAAUCCCAGAGCAAAUGCUGGGGACUUGACUCAGUGGCAAAAGACCUCCCCACCGUCCCUCGUAUCCCUUCCCGGGGCUUCCUACAGAGUGGACAGAGCAACACUAAAGCUACAGACAACUGUCCAGACAGGAGGUAAUCCCGCAAACCCUCCCAGGAUGCCUGCGUCAACAGCCAAGGCCAGCAUGUGGAAGAGCUGAGCUGUAAGAACAAUAAGGCAGGGGCUGUGUUCAUUUUGCUGUUGCUCUAUAUCCAGAAGCUAACACGGUGCCUGCAACAUAUUAUAGCGGCAUCAGAUGAUUUUAUAGCCCACUGGGGCCAGAGGAUUCGCUGGGAAGCAGAGUGUACCUACAUGAGCAAGUUGUACUGUAUAAAGUGGCAAGUGAUCUCAGACAAUUACAGAAACCUUCCUGUCUCAGUUGGUACCCUGGAGACAGCCGAUAAUGCUGGCAUACACUGCUAAAACUGUCAGCAAUAAGACGUGAGGAAAACCCAAACCAGAACUUUUAACAAAUUAUGAGGGUGUGGAAAAGAGCAGAAACGUCUUGGUAAUGACUUACAUUAACAAUACAGCUGCCUCCUCGAGCUCCCCGAGUCAUAAAACACUAACAGCUAGGGGCUGAAAGGAAAACAUGUGCACGUUACAAGGAAAUGAAGAUCAGAGAAACAGACUUUGCAUGGGGGUGUGGUGGUUGCCAAGCUAAAUGCAGAAGAGCCACGGUUCCGCUGAUGCGAAAAGAGUCAACCACGACACAGGGAAGGCGGCCGAGUGGACUUAUCUCAUGCACAGGCCACGGUGACUAAAGGUGGUUCAGGUGGAAAUCACUGGGUUUAAACCACCAGCAGUAGUGAUGGGGCCUAUAGCUCGGUCUCCUCAUCCGUCAACUAUGGCCAAUGGCUUCUGUAAAGAAAGCAUUUUGGGGGCACCUGGGUGGCUCAGUUAGUUAAGGCCUCUGCCUUUGGCUCAGGUCACGAUCUCAGGGU